GCGACGAUUUCCCCCUCCGGGAGGGAAGUUUUCCCGGCAGGAUCGUCCUGUCGGAGCUCUAGAUUGGUUCUGCUCAAGUUCCGCCUCGUGGCGGCGGCGAAUCCAGAAAAAGCCUCCUCUUGAUUUUUCCCCGGACGAAACCCUUCAUAUAGCAGAAGAGGUGGGGGGGGGGGCAUAGGGCCAGCUAAGUGCCCACAAGCCCCCUAGGCACGGCCGGGGGGGUGGCCGCGUCUAGCAGGCUUGUGGCCACCUGCUGUCGCCUUUCUGGCGCUACUUCGGCACAGUAUUUUUUAUAAAUCCGGAAAAAAAAUUCUCGUUGAUUUUUACGGCGUUUGGAGUUGCGCAGAAUAGGUAUCUCAACUUUGCUCCAAUUUUAUGUCAGAAUUCCAGCUGUCGGCAAGGUUUACUCUUCAAAUAAACCUUGCAAAAUAAGAGAGAAAAGACAUAAGAAUUGUACCGUGAAGUGAAAUAACAGGCCAAGAAAUGAUAAAUAUCAACAUGAAAGCAUGAUGCAAAAUGAACUUAUCA
rnacentral:lncRNA from 1 species